AUCACAGUACAGUACUUACCUCAUGGAUGGCUGGGGUGACUAGAUGAACCCCCUUCUAAGAUAUAAUGAAUGAUGGGCCCAUAGAAAGUGGGGGACUGCAAGUGCUUAGUGUGCAGAGCCUGCCCUUAGGAAGCUCAGGGCUUGAAUACACAAGGGGAGCCCCUUGGCUUUCCCUGUUCCUGAAAAUAACUGGUCCCGAGGCUGCUUGAGGGGGAGAUGAUGCCCGGCUGACACCAUUACUCCCAACUGUCCCCACAGAAGAUGCUAAUGAAGCAGCAGGAGCGACUGGAGGAGAGAGAGCAGGACAUUGAGGACCAGUUGUACAAGCUUGAGUCAGACAAGCGCCUGGUGGAGGUAGGAGACCCUGAGCACAGGUCGGGUGACGGGGAUGCAGGGUCUUGGGUGAGUUCCCUUCUAGGGGUCUUGAGUUGCUCUAUGCCAGAGCCAUCUGUCAAUCACCUCUCAGACUAGGUUAAGAGUGGUUGGCGCACAGCCCAGUGCUACACGUGGGGAAUUGGCGGGUCACACCUUACUCAGAAGCAGGGGCUCCAGAGCCCAGACCCUAGCCUCGCAGCAUCAGAAAUGGAGUUGGCGUAUCGAUCACUGGGUGCUCCUGGGCCUGCUCAUCCUUGUCUGCCUCUGCAGGAGAAAGUGAGCCAACUGAAGGAGGAAGUGAGGCUGCAGUAUGAAAAGCUGCACCAGCUGCUGGACGAGGACCUGCGGCAGACAGUGGAGGUCCUAGACAAGGCGCAGGCCAAGUUCUGCAGCGAGAACGCGGCGCAGGCGCUGCACCUCGGGGAGCGCAUGCAAGAGGCUAAGAAGCUGCUGGGCUCCCUGCAGCUCCUCUUUGACAAGACAGAGGACGUCAGCUUCAUGAAGAAUACCAAGUCUGUGAAAAUCCUAAUGGACAGACGCCCCGUCCACUGCCCCCAGGACCCAGACCUGCACAGGCAGCAGCCUUUCUCCCCCUAAGAUCGGCCACCUGAACUCCAAGCUCUUCCUGAACGAGGUGGCCAAGAAGGAGAAGCAGUUGCGGAAGAUGCUAGAAGGUCCCUUCAGCACGCCGGUGCCCUUCCUACAGAGCGUCCCCCUGUACCCUUGUGGUGUGAACAGCUCUGGGGCAGAGAAGCGUAAGCACUCCACGGCCUUCCCAGAGGCUAGCUUCCUGGAGACUUCAUCAGGCCCGGUGGGCAGCCAGUACGGGGCAGCAGGCCCAGCCAGCAGCGAGGGGCAGUCCGGGCAACCCCUGGGGCCCUGUAGCUCCACGCAGCACUUGGUUGCUUUGCCAGGUGGUGCCCAGCCAGUACACUCGAGUCCUGUGUUUCCCCCAUCACAGUACCCCAAUGGCUCUGCCACUCAGCAGCCCAUGCUACCCCAGUAUGGCGGUCGCAAGAUUCUCGUCUGUUCUGUGGACAACUGUUAUUGUUCUUCCGUGGCCAACCAUGGUGGCCACCAGCCGUACCCCCGAUCCGGCCACUUCCCCUGGACAGUGCCCUCUCAAGAAUACUCACACCCACUUCCACCCACACCCUCCGUCCCUCAGUCCCUCUCUGGCCUGGCAGUCAGAGACUGGCUCGACGCUUCCCAGCAGCCUGGCCACCAAGAUUUCUACAGGGUGUAUGGGCAGCCAUCCACCAAACACUAUGUGACAAGCUAACGCCAAGCAGGCAAUGGACGCUGGGGACCCUUCUCCCCAGCCCCGGUGGCUCGGGAAU
rnacentral:lncRNA from 1 species